rnacentral:rRNA from 1 species
GACGAACGCUGGCGGCGUGCUUAACACAUGCAAGUCGAACGGUAAGGCCCCUUCGGGGGUACACGAGUGGCGAACGGGUGAGUAACACGUGAGCAACCUGCCCUUGACUCUGGAAUAACAGUUGGAAACAGCUGCUAAUACUGGAUAUUCAUCGUUCCCUUCCUGGGGGGUGGUGGAAAGCUCCGGCGGUCAGGGAUGGGCUCGCGGCCUAUCAGCUUGUUGGUGAGGUAAUGGCUCACCAAGGCUUCGACGGGUAGCCGGCCUGAGAGGGCGACCGGCCACACUGGGACUGAGAUACGGCCCAGACUCCUACGGGAGGCAGCAGUGGGGAAUAUUGCACAAUGGGCGCAAGCCUGAUGCAGCAACGCCGCGUGCGGGAUGACGGCCUUCGGGUUGUAAACCGCUUUCAGUAGGGACGAAGGGUGACUGACGGUACCUACAGAAGAAGGACCGGCUAACUACGUGCCAGCAGCCGCGGUGAUACGUAGGGUCCGAGCGUUGUCCGGAAUUAUUGGGCGUAAAGGGCUUGUAGGCGGUCCCGUCGCGUCAGAAGUGAAAAACUCAGGGCUUAACCCUGAACCUGCUUUUGAUACGGGCGGACUAGAGGGAUGCAGGGGAGAACGGAAUUCCUGGUGGAGCGGUGGAAUGCGCAGAUAUCAGGAGGAACACCGGUGGCGAAGGCGGUUCUCUAGGCAUUACCUGACGCUGAGAAGCGAAAGCGUGGGGAGCAAACAGGCUUAGAUACCCUGGUAGUCCACGCCGUAAACGGUGGGCACUAGGUGUGGGGGACAUUCCACGUUCUCCGUGCCGAAGCUAACGCAUUAAGUGCCCCGCCUGGGGAGUACGGCCGCAAGGCUAAAACUCAAAGGAAUUGACGGGGGCCCGCACAAGCGGCGGAGCAUGCGGAUUAAUUCGAUGCAACGCGAAGAACCUUACCUGGGUUUGACAUAUGCCGGAAAGCUGCAGAGAUGUAGCCCCCGCAAGGUCGGUAUACAGGUGGUGCAUGGCUGUCGUCAGCUCGUGUCGUGAGAUGUUGGGUUAAGUCCCGCAACGAGCGCAACCCUCGUCCUAUGUUGCCAGCGGAUAAUGCCGGGGACUCAUAGGAGACUGCCGGGGUCAACUCGGAGGAAGGUGGGGAUGACGUCAAGUCAUCAUGCCCCUUAAGUCCAGGGCUUCACGCAUGCUACAAUGGCUGGUACAAAGGGCUGCGAUACCGCAAGGUGGAGCGAAUCCCAAAAAGCCAGUCUCAGUUCGGAUUGGGGUCUGCAACUCGACCCCAUGAAGUCGGAGUCGCUAGUAAUCGCAGAUCAGCAACGCUGCGGUGAAUACGUUCCCGGGCCU